AAAACAGGAAUGAUGACCCCUACUUUGAAGAUGAGGUUUGACAAGAGCCUGCUGUGGGCCUUUGGCUGAAGGACUGCCAUCGGGUACCCGAAGAUCACUUAGCUCACGUGAGCGAAGGGCUGAAGGUACCCGGAAGUGAGAACUGGGAAGCAAGAACAUCUGGUCUACCUGCCUGGCCCUGAAGAAAAAGAAAAGCGUGUUGAUGAACACACAGCAGCGUCUACAACAGGCAAGUAACUU